rnacentral:rRNA from 1 species
GAUGAACGCUGGCGGCGUGCUUAACACAUGCAAGUCGAACGAGAAGUGGAGACGGAAACCUUCGGGCGGAAGACUUUAUUUCGAGUGGCGGACGGGUGAGUAACGCGUGGGUAACCUGCCUCAUACAGGGGGAUAACAGUUGGAAACGACUGUUAAUACCGCAUCAGACCACAGCACCGCAUGGUGCGGGGGUAAUGACUCCGGUGGUAUGAGAUGGACCCGCGUUCGAUUAGCCAGUUGGCGGGGUAACGGCCCACCAAAGCGACGAUCGACAGCCGAUCUGAGAGGAUGACCGGCCACAUCUGGACUGAGACACGGCCCAAACUCCUACGGGAGGCAGGAGUGGGGAAUAUUGCAACAGGGGGGAAACCCUGAUGCAGCGACGACGCGUGAGUGAAGAAGUAUUUCGGUAUGUAAAGCUCUAUCAGCAGGGAAGAAAAUGACGGUACCUGAGUAAGAAGCCCCGGCUAACUACGUG